GCUGGGCGCGGUGGCACACGCCUGUCAUCCCAAUAGCUCAGGAGGCUGAGGCAGGAGGAUCGCCAGUUCAAAGCCAGCCUCAGCACCAGCAAGUUCUCAGCCACUCAGUGAGACCGUGCCUCUA
rnacentral:sRNA from 1 species